CUUGGUGAAUUUCACUUUAUUU
rnacentral:miRNA from 1 species